GCGCAUUCAGGAAUCAUGGCUCUUCAUGGGAUACAGCCUGUGUCCAGUGAAUGAUGGAUGGAAGGUUAUAAAGGCCUGAACCUCUCACCCCAACCCUGGACAACUCUAAAAGACCAUCCAGCAUCAGCGCCCCCCUGGGGUCAGCUGAGGCCUUGCAGAUGUUACUCUCAGAAGAACAAAGACUCCUUGAAGAAAUGGCCAAUUCCAGGGUCAGAGAAGAAAAUAAAAGAUGCGCCUGAAAUAUCUUGCAUCAGAAAGAAGUGUUUGUUCAAAGAAUGAUGAAGCCACGUGAAAAGGACACACCAAACAGCUUGAGGGAUUGCCACUGGCCAAU